ACUCAUUCUUAAUUUAAACCAUCUUCUGCCUUUUCUACCGUAGGCUCAAAAUAUUGAACUUGUGAACACAUCCUGGUGGCUCCUUAGAACUUUGCAUUAUUUAAGAUUAUGAAUUCUUGAUCAGAUCAUCUGCAUCAACCAUUAUAUUGUGAGAAUAUCAAGCCACAUAGAAAACCUCUUACAGCUGUUCCCAUAGACAGAUCCAGCUAUAACCAUUCUUCAAGUCAUCCCAUCCCCAGUACAAGGAAGGCAUGAGAAGAAAGUUCUAGAUGAUUCCAGUCCCGUGCUAUUCAAAUCUUCCCAGUUCCUCACAGAUGCUAUCUGCUCAGCAGUUUAUCUUGCCAAAUAUUGACUUGGAAAACUACAAAGGACAUCUUACUACAUUAAACCCAUCAAAAAAACCCCAAAACCAACCAACAAACCAACCAACAAACUAAAACCAUUCCAAAGAGCCCAUGGUGUCUGAGUGAAAGGAUGUUUCUCUAAUGCAGCUGUCACACCAUCUCACCUAUGAUCUCCUCCCUGCCAAUCUCCCACAAACCUAGGACCAACCAUUACUUCACUACUGUUGUUUUGUUUGCCAGGACAGAAGCAGGUGCACAGAUACUCUGCAGGUAUUGAAGCACAGAUGCUAUUCUCAUCCUCCUCACAUAUACUAUUGAGAUAUUUUAUGUCUCCGGAGCUGUACAGACUUACACUUUUGAGGUGCAAUUGACUAUUAGCCUCUGUGUGAUGAGGCUGAGCACAGCUGCGGGCAACAUGGACAGUUGAAUGGGUGUGUAAGAUGAAGUCUCCACCUGAGACGAAGUCAACUGAUACCUAAGGAUAUCUCAAUGUUUGAGGGAAGAAAUAACCAGAACAUACCAAGAAUUGCAAGUCAAAACAACAAUUAAUAUUUUUUAAAAGUGGCUGUCUUCACGUGGUUCUGACCUGAUCCCGAAUCCUGAAAUUCCCAAAGGCUGACAUCUGAAGAGGCAUGCUCUUUAACUUAUAUAAUCACACAUAUGUGCAUCCCUACAGACAGACCCUGAACCUUGGAAGAAAACAAAAAGAGGAAAAGAAAGAGGGGGAAGGGGAAGGAGAAAAAGAGGAACAGGAGAAGAAAGGGUCAGAUGGCCAAAAUGAAACAUGGGUAUACCUAAAACCAAACUGCACUUUUGAAGAGGAAUUUACAUUAUAAUUUUGUGAAUUUAUCAAAAGGAUAAAGUAUAUUAAGGAGAAAAAAUGGAAUAAAGCUUUUGCUUCUGUUUAGCUUUCAAGGGUUACAUUUUUGUCUCCUCUGUUAAGACAAAAUAUAUACAACAUGCCUCCCUUCUCAUUCAUUAUUGGUGUUACUUCCAACUAAUUUCAGAUAAAUGAUUUUUUUCUCUGAAUAAUGAAUGAAUCCCUUUAGAUGUUUAUAAAUGCUGCCU